rnacentral:rRNA from 1 species
UACGUAGGGUGCGAGCGUUGUCCGGAAUUAUUGGGCGUAAAGAGCUUGUAGGCGGUUUGUCGCGUCUGCUGUGAAAUCUCAAGGCUCAACCUUGAGCUUGCAGUGGGUACGGGCAGACUAGAGUGUGGUAGGGGAGACUGGAAUUCCUGGUGUAGCGGUGAAAUGCGCAGAUAUCAGGAAGAACACCCGUGGCGAAGGCGGCUCUCUGGGACGGUACUGGACGGCUGAGACGCGAAAAGCGUGGGGAGCGAACAGG